rnacentral:rRNA from 1 species
UACGUAGGGGUCGAGCGUUGUCCGGACUUACUGGGCGUAAAGCGUGGGUAGGUGGAUGGUGAUGUGCCGUGUGAAAGCGCCGCGCUUCUCGCGGCGAGGUCGCGGUAGACACACCAUCUAGAGGCACGGAGAGGGGCGUAGAAUUCCCGGUGUAGUGGUGAAAUGCGUAGAUAUCUGGAGGAACACCGGUGGCGAAGGCGGCAUCCUGGACCGGUAUUGACGCUGAGGCGCGAAAGCCAGGGGAGCAAACGGG